rnacentral:sRNA from 1 species
GCCGGGUGUGGUGGCUCACGCCUGUAAUCCCAGCACUUUGGGAGGCUGAGGCGGGUGGAUCACCUGAGGUCAGGAGUUCGAGGCCAGCCUGGCCAACAUGGUGAAACCCCAUCUCUU